rnacentral:rRNA from 1 species
AACGAACGCUGGCGGCAGGCUUAACACAUGCAAGUCGAACGGUUGUAGCAAUACAGCAGUGGCGCACGGGUGAGUAACGCGUGGAUAUCUGCCUUUUGGUUCGGAAUAACUCCGGGAAACUGGAGCUAAUACCGGAUGGUUCCUACGGGAUAAAGAUUUAUCGCCAAAAGAUGAGUCCGCGUACGAUUAGCUAGUUGGUGGGGUAAUGGCCCACCAAGGCGACGAUCGUUAGCUGGUCUGAGAGGACGAUCAGCCACACUGGGACUGAGACACGGCCCAGACUCCUACGGGAGGCAGCAGUGGGGAAUAUUGGACAAUGGGGGCAACCCUGAUCCAGCCAUGCCGCGUGAGUGAUGAAGGCCUUCGGGUUGUAAAGCUCUUUUGGCGGGGACGAUGAUGACGGUACCCGCAGAAUAAGCCCCGGCUAACUUCGUGCCAGCCGCCGCUGUAA